AUUAAGUCAUGAAGGAGAUGGAGUGUUUGGUGUAUUGAGCUGUAAGGAGAAAAAGGCUUGGUGGAAUUGAGGGUCCUUGUUGUUCCAAGCUGAGAAGGAUUGGAAUGAACUACGAAUUAGUGGGAAUUGGUUAUUCACUGCUGCAGGAAUUAUAAAAGAGAAAGAAAGCAAAAUGCUGAAAUUCCUGCUGUGAAGGAAUUUCCUACUAGUUGGAGCUGCCGAAUUGGAGGAUUGGGCUAUUUGAAGCACUAAGAAGUGUGCUGUGAAAAGAAUGUGAAGUGCAGAAUUUCAGCAUACAAUUCUUGCUUAUUGGAGCUGAAAUAGAACAUGGUAGAGCUUUAAACUCAGUGGCUGCACAAAGGGAAGUAUUAGCGCUGAAAUUUCAGCAUGGUGCAGAUCUUACUACAAGCUGAAAAUAAGUCAAUUGAGCAUUGAAGUGAGGUUCCAGUGCGAGCGGUGUGGCCGAGGAUCGCGGCAAGAGCCCAACAGUUUAGCUAGCUGACACCAGAGUAUAGUUGUUUACCAUUUUGGGUUUAUGUAUCAUCCAACUUGAUGUACAAGACAUGAAAAUGAAUGUAUUUAAGAGAAUGUAAAUAACUAAAUGUUUCAGUUAUUCAGUUUCAUACAGUUCAGUUCAAAGUUUUAAAUUACAGUGAAUUUCAUGUA